UACGUAGGGGGCAAGCGUUGUCCGGACUUACUGGGCGUAAAGCGCGUGCAGGCGGAUGAGUAUGUGCCGUGUGAAAGCUCUCGGCUUGCCCGGGAGAGGUCGCGGUAGACAGCUUAUCUGGAGGCUCGGAGAGGUCAGUGGAAUUCCCGGUGUAGUGGUGAAAUUCGUAGAUAUCAGGAGGAACACCGGUGGCGAAGGCGGCCACCUGGGCUGGUACUGACGCUGAGACGCGAAAGCGUGGGGAGCAAACAGG
rnacentral:rRNA from 1 species